rnacentral:sRNA from 1 species
AGGAUGCAAGAGUCAGAGUGAGGGAUCUGUCCCUGGAUGGGGACAAUAAGGGGUCAGUUCAGGGGGACUUCCUUGAGCUCUGAAGUUUCACCUGAGAAUGGGAGAUUCAGAACUUGGUGACAGAAAUUGUGGAGCUCACUGUGUCUUUGCUGAUCCUUCAGCAAAGGAAGUGAGAUUGUUUCUAGCUUUUCUGUUUGGGGUGCUUCUCUGUCAACUAAAAAUCUUCAUCCUUCAAAUAUUGCAUCAUUUGUGUAUACUUCAUUCAUUCACUUACUCAUGACCCACUCCUCGAGUGCCUGUGAUGGGCAAGCGUCUGUCCUAGGAGCCGUGUGCUGGGCCAGAGUUAAAUCUGAGAGAUCAUGUGUGGCAUUUCUCAUGGAUUGAGAUGUCUGAGUGUCAUUGUUUUGAGAGAGCUAGUGGCAUGGUUUAUAAGGCUGUUUUUCAUUUUCUCCAUACAGGACAACAGCUUUGAGCAGUUCAUUAUUAAUUAUUGUAAUGAAAAGCUGCAACAAAUCUUCAUUGAACUUACUCUUAAAGAAGAGCAGGAGGAGUAUAUACGGGAGGAUAUAGAAUGGACUCACAUUGACUACUUCAAUAAUGCUAUCAUUUGUGACCUAAUAGAAAAUAACACAAAUGGAAUCCUGGCCAUGCUGGAUGAAGAGUGCCUCAGACCUGGCACAGUCACCGAUGAGACCUUCUUAGAAAAGCUGAACCAAGUAUGUGCCACCCACCAGCACUUUGAGAGCAGGAUGAGCAAGUGCUCUCGUUUCCUCAAUGACACGUCUCUGCCUCACAGCUGCUUCAGGAUCCAGCAUUAUGCUGGAAAGGUGCUGUACCAGGUGGAAGGAUUUGUUGACAAAAACAACGACCUUCUCUAUCGAGACCUGUCCCAAGCCAUGUGGAAGGCCAGCCAUGCCCUCAUCAAGUCUUUGUUCCCUGAAGGGAAUCCCGCCAAGAUCAACCUGAAAAGGCCUCCUACAGCAGGCUCACAGUUCAAGGCAUCCGUGGCCACUCUGAUGAAAAACCUACAGACCAAGAACCCAAACUAUAUUAGGUAUUUCUGGCACAUAAAACUUUCACAGUUCAAAUGUGAGAGCACCCCGAAGGAAUAUCAUUUUUCGCUUUGCUUCAAUCUGAGUGUAGCCGAAGCAGAGGGUAACUAAAAUACUUACAGAUUAAAUAAUACCUUAUCUGGGAUUGGCUUAAAAAAUGCUCCACUGUCCUUUCCCCUAAAGUAAGAAAGCAAAAAAGUAAAGUGUGGUGGAGAAGAUAGUAGAUACUUAAUGAAGCUCAGUGGUUGACACCUAGGGGUUUUCAACUUUCUGUAUGUUUAUUAUUAUUUUUUUAAUGGCAAGUUAAAAAACAAAAUGUAAGUGUUUUUUCUGGUCAGUGUUUUGCAGAAAACUCUUGUUGGCUUCAUUUGGGAUUCUUGUUCUAUUAGCUUAGAGCACAGCAUUGAAGCAAGUGCUUUAGUUAACAGCUCUGGCACUUCUUAGGAGACAUGCACUUUUUUCUUCCUUGUGAGAGGUGUAGGCCUGGAGAAAGUAAUGAUUCCUAAAGCAAUCUGAAUUUUUUUCAAGGCAAUAGAAAGACCUUCUUAAAAGGGACUGGGCGUGGUGGCUCACACCUAUAAUCCCAACACUUUGGGAGGCGGAGGCGGGUGGAUCACCUCAGGUCAGGAAUUCGAGACUAGCCUGGCCAACAUGGCAAAACUCUGUCUCUACUAAAAAUAUAAAAAUUAGCCGGGCGUGGUGGCGGGAACCUAUAAUCCCAACUACUUGGGAGGCUGAGGCAGGAGAAUCGCUUGGAGGCGGAGGUUGCAGUGAGCCAAGGUCGUGCCACUGCACUCCAGCCUGGGUGACAAAACAAGACUCCAUCUC